CACGUAGGGGCCAAGCGUUGUCCGGAUUUAUUGGGCGUAAAGAGCUCGUAGGCGGUUGGGUAAGUCGGGUGUGAAAACUCCAGGCUCAACUUGGAGACGCCACCCGAUACUGCUCUGACUUGAGUUCGGUAGGGGAGUGGGGAAUUCCUGGUGUAGCGGUGAAAUGCGCAGAUAUCAGGAAGAACACCCGUGGCGAAAGCGGCUCUCUGGAACGGUACUGACGCUGAGACGCGAAAGCGUGGGGAGCGAACAGG
rnacentral:rRNA from 1 species